AUUGAACGCUGGCGGCAUGCCUUACACAUGCAAGUCGAAUGGCAGCACGGGAGCAAUCCUGGUGGCGAGUGGCGAACGGGUGAGUAAUAUAUCGGAACGUGCCCGGUCGUGGGGAUAACGUAGCGAAAGCUACGCUAAUACCGCAUACGAUCUACGGAUGAAAGCGGGGGAUCGCAAGACCUCGCGCGAUUGGAGCGGCCGAUAUCAGAUUAGGUAGUUGGUGAGGUAAAGGCUCACCAAGCCGACGAUCUGUAGCUGGUCUGAGAGGACGACCAGCCACACUGGGACUGAGACACGGCCCAGACUCCUACGGGAGGCAGCAGUGGGGAAUUUUGGACAAUGGGCGCAAGCCUGAUCCAGCAAUGCCGCGUGCAGGAUGAAGGCCUUCGGUG
rnacentral:rRNA from 1 species